CCUACGGGCGGCUGCAGUGGGGAAUAUUGGACAAUGGGGGGAACCCUGAUCCAGCCAUGCCGCGUGUGUGAAGAAGGCCCUCGGGUUGUAAAGCACUUUCAGUGAGGAAGAACGCCUGGUGGUUAAUACCCAUCAGGAAAGACAUCACUCACAGAAGAAGCACCGGCUAACUCCGUGCCAGCAGCCGCGGUAAUACGGAGGGUGCGAGCGUUAAUCGGAAUUACUGGGCGUAAAGCGCGCGUAGGUGGCUUGAUAAGCCGGUUGUGAAAGCCCCGGGCUCAACCUGGGAACGGCAUCCGGACCUGUCAAGCUAGAGGGCAGGAGAGGAAGGUAGAAUUCCCGGUGUAGCGGUGAAAUGCGUAGAGAUCGGGAGGAAUACCAGUGGCGAAGGCGGCCUUCUGGACUGACACUGACACUGAGGUGCGAAGGCGUGGGUAGCAAACAGGAUUAGAUACCCUAGUAGUC
rnacentral:rRNA from 1 species